GCUGAUGCUGUCAAGGUUCUGACUGAAGAUUCUUAUUUCAGCUUUGUGUUUCUUCUCUUCAUGCUUCAUCAACUUUUCAUCAUAAGCCAAUGAAUUUGAAGAUAAGAUUAAAGUGGAUACAUGAUCAAAUAGUACAUAGUCCAAAUAAAAAAUAUUCCUUCUACUCCUGAAAACAUGGACGAAGGACAAUACUAUUCAUCACACCUGUCACUAAUCCGUUAGUGGACAAC
rnacentral:lncRNA from 1 species